rnacentral:rRNA from 1 species
CCAAUAGCGUAUAUUAAAGUUGUUGCAGUUAAAAAGCUCGUAGUUGAAUUUCGGGAUCAAUGCGUCGGUCGUGCCUUCGGUACGUACUAGCGUCAUUGAUUCCUCCCUUCUGAAGAACCGUGAUGUCAUUAAUUUGGUGUUACGGGGAAUCAGGACUGUUACCUUGAAAAAAUUAGAGUGUUUAAAGCAGGCUAACGCUUGAAUACAUUAGCAUGGAAUAAUGAAAUAGGACGUUCGAACCUAUUUUGUUGGUUUCUAGGAUCGACGUAAUGAUUAAUAGGGAUAGUUGGGGGGAUUAGUAUUCAAUUGUCAGAGGUGAAAUUCUUGGAUUUAUUGAAGACUGACUACUGCGAAAGCAUUUGCCAAGGAUGUUUUCAUUAAUCAAGAACGAAAGUUAGGGGAUCGAAGACGAUCAGAUACCGUCGUAGUCUUAACCAUAAACUAUGCCGACUAGGGAUCGGAUGAUGUUAAUUUUAUAAUGACUCAUUCGGCGCCUUACGGGAAACCAAAGGUUUGGGUUC